rnacentral:rRNA from 1 species
GUCUGAUUAGCUAGUUGGUGAGGUAACGGCUCUACCAAGGCAACGAUCAGUAGCCGGCUUGAGAGAGUGGACGGCCACAUUGGGACUGAGACACGGCCCAAACUCCUACGGGAGGCAGCAGUGGGGGAUAUUGCACAAUGGGGGAAACCCUGAUGCAGCGACGCCGCGUGAGGGAAGAAGGUUUUCGGAUUGUAAACCUCUGUCUUCAGGGAAGAAAAUGACGGUACCUGACUAAGAAGCCCCGGCUAACUAC